UUUCAGUCCACUUGUUUUCAGCUUGCGGGCAUUGGUUGAUUUUAAUUACUCUGAUGGCACCGUGGACCUCAUUAGCAAAGCUAGCUCAUACUUGAGAAGUAUCUUCCAUGCAAUAAAAAAGGCAGAGGAUGCUGUUGAUGCACAAAUUACUCCUAAUCUUCAUACGUUGUCAGAUAUUGGGAUUUCUUUGUUGGAUGCAAUAAGCAACAGAGGCGUGUCUCAUUCACAUAUCUCUGGACUUAUUUUGCUGCCAUCUUCACUCUAUAAAAUGGGUCAAGAACAUAAUAGUCAGGGGAAAAGUGAUCUUUUAAUUCGUUAUCAGCUAGAUGAAAAUUUCAUUAGGAGUUUACUUGAUAUUUCUAAAAAGAAAGCUCAGACUGCUGGCAUCAUCAGUACACAAUACCAAAAAUCUCAAGAUGGCAUGAAGCGGUCUGGUAACAGUGGGGGCAGCAUGUUAG
rnacentral:misc_RNA from 1 species